rfam:Callithrix jacchus chromosome X, whole genome shotgun sequence
CAAGUACUGGUCUCAGCAGAUUGAGGAGAGCACCACAGUGGUCACCAUGCAGUCUGCCGAGGUUGGAGCUGC